AAAUGAAAGAUAUGGCUGCUGCCAGGAAGAGAUGGGAAGCUCUGGUGUUUUGAAUCCCAAAGUAACAGCAUUUAUGUCAUUCUUUUGGGCCUGGAGUAGAUGGGUCAGGGAAGAAAAAGUGAAAGUUCCUACACCUGGGGAAGCUGGGUAUGCAAUUCAGCUAUCUAACAAAACCCCACUUGAUGUUCAUCCCUCUACUGAACACAAAAUGGUGGACAGGAUCUUAUGACUUAUCAGAGAAGGUCCUCAACCUUUUAAACUUUGUGGAAUUGGUAGGGGCUUUGAAUUUCUUAG